UUUCCGUAGGUGAACCUGCGGAAGGAUCAUUGUCGAAACCUGCCCAGCAGAACGACCCGCGAACUUGUAUAAACAACUGGGGGCGGGGGGCGUUCUCGCCCCGUGCCCCCGAACGGCGGGGAGACACUCGUGCCUUCUUGCCGAACAACGAACCCCGACGCGGUCUGCGCCAAGGAACUUCAACUAAAGAGUGCCUCCGGUCGCCUCGGAAACGGCGUGCGUGCCGGAGGCGAAUCUUGUGCAAAACCAUAACGACUCUCGGCAACGGACAUCUCGGCUCUC
rnacentral:misc_RNA from 1 species